CCCUUAGAUGUUCUGGGCCGCACGCGUGCUACACUGGUACAAUCACUAAGUUUCUGAGUAGUUAUGCUUGGGCAAUCUUGAAAACUGUACCGUGACGGGGCUUGACUGUUGAAAUUUUCUGUCACUAACGAGGAAUUCCUAGUAAAUGUGGGUCAUGAACUCACGUUGAUUACGUCCCUGCCCUUUGUACACACCGCCCGUCGCUCCUACCGAUUGGGUGUGCUGGUGAAAUGUUCGGAUCGGCCGUUUGUCGCGGUUUCCGCGGCUCGUGGCUGAGAAGUUCAUUAAACCCUCCCACCUAGAGGAAGGAGAAGUCGUAACA
rnacentral:rRNA from 1 species